UGGGGAAUAUUGGGCAAUAGGCGCAAGCCUGACCCAGCAACGCCGCGUGAGGGAAGAAGGUCUUCGGAUUGUAAACCUCUGUCUUUGGUGAAGAAAGAAAUGACGGUAGCCGAGGAGGAAGCCACGGCUAACUACGUGCCAGCAGCCGCGGUAAUACGUGGGUGGCAAGCGUUGUCCGGAAUUACUGGGUGUAAAGGGAGCGCAGGCGGGAGAGCAAGUCAGCUGUGAAAACUAUGGGCUUAACCCAUAAACUGCAGUUGAAACUGUUUUUCUUGAGUGGAGUAGAGGUAGGCGGAAUUCCGAGUGUAGCGGUGAAAUGCGUAGAUAUUCGGAGGAACACCAGUGGCGAAGGCGGCCUACUGGGCUCUAACUGACGCUGAGGCUCGAAAGUGUGGGGAGCAAACA
rnacentral:rRNA from 1 species